GUGCUUUGUUACAUCGAUCUGCAGUAUCAAAAGCCCCAAAAUGCUUUAUUCUCGGGGAAAGCUGUGCACGGGCAGCACCUGAGGAGAUGCUGAGGUGCUUCUGCCCAGCGCUGGGUGCAUCAGGAAGCUGAGCCGGGUCCAGUUCCACCCUCCUGCCACAUCCAGCCCCAUGGUCCUAAGGUGCUGGCCUAGCUGGGUUCCUGGGUUUCACUGUUCACCUCUAGGAGGCACUGGGCGAGAAGAUGGUGUCGGUUGAAAAGAUGGCAGCGGGCGGGAAGAUGGCAGUGGCUGAGGGAGGAAGCCCAGAUCUUUCCUGGCGAGCUGGCUCCAUCCUACCUCGGAUAUUCCCUGAAGAAGCAGCAACUGUUUUUGAGAUAUCAGUCUACUUAUAUUAGAUCUUUUUGCAUGGAUCUGAAGGCUAAUGAAUCUUUGAGGAAGCUCCAGUCAGCAUUGCCCCUCUGUAUUCUAAAUGACAUAUUGGAUCUUCAGGCUGCUAUGAAGAUGCUUCUGUGCGAGUCAUUCCUUUGGAAAACAUACAUCCUGGGAAUGUUGUAUUCCAAAUGAGAAACAAGAGAUGUUUAUCUUGACCUCAGCAGACUGCUAGGUAGAACUUAAGAAAGUUUUUUGUUAUAAUAUUUGUGACCAUGUGCCUCAGGUAUGGGAGAUGAAAAUUUGUGCAGUUGGUUUGGAGCAGCAACUUGAAUUUGGGUCUGUGAUAAUGGGUAAUGGCUGGUUUGGAAUAAGCACAAAGUUUUCCUUCUUGAAUGUUCCUGAAAGGUGGUGCUCUGACAUCAUGCUUCAGACUUUCAGAACCCUUCAAGGAGCAGGUUAGCUGUAUUUCCAUCAACCAUGGACUUACUUUUCUAAGGAGACUCUGGGAAUUGAAUAUGAUUUGGGUUUACGUUCUGCUGUUUUUCCAUCACCUUUUAUGUGAGGAGACUGUAUGACAUGCUGCCAGUGUAUGUGCUUUCUGGAUUGCAGAGAAAUGGCUUGUUAGCACCUACUGACUGAUUAGUUCUGUUUUUGUAAUAACGAAUUUUAGUAUGUUGGAUUCUUAUCAAAGUCUUAAUGCAAGGAUAAGGUACCUACAUAAUUUUUAAGAUCUAAAGAGAUGGCAGUUAGAAGUUGUGUACCAGAAGGCAAAGGAGAAAUAGAAAGAUUAGUUAUGAAGUAUAAAUUAUAUGCAGGACUUAAA
rnacentral:lncRNA from 1 species